CGAGAGGCAGAGAGAAGGGAAAGUUCUGUGCCAGCGGUGGUUUUUCCGAGUGUUGUUGGAUACGUCGACGGGACGCAUAUCCACAUUCAGGCGGCGAAAAUAAUGAGCACCAGUACGUGAAUGGAAAAUAUUUUCAUUCACUGAAUGUUCAGGUUAAUGUUUAUCAACGUGCUUGCAAAGUGGCAUCCAGGGUGUCUGCAGCCUUUGGAAGCAACUGUAGACUAUUGGACCGGGUCAUGCUAGGUGACAGUAGCUGCAUGAUAGGAGAGUGAUUGUUGACACCAUUUCAGCAUCCUGCACCCUUGCAGGAAAGGAAAUACAACACAGCACAUAGCUGUACAUGCAACUGGCAUAGCUAAAAAGAGAUGGGAUUGUCUCUAGGGUCUGAAGAUGGAACCAGAUCAGGCAUGUGAAGUGACUGUGUUCUCAAUCGGGGAGAGCCAGACAAUGAUGGCGACAAUAAUGAUGUUGGACAUAACAAUGAUUUAAAUAAUGAAAAUCACUACAAUAAAAUCAAUGACACUGUUUCAGAACAUGAUGCUCCCACAGAAAGAGCCCAUGUUGCAGCAGGAAAAGCUGUCAGGAACCAAUCUGUUUAUAGACUUUUCUUGUAAAUAUGUUAAACCAUAAUUUUAUACAUUUCAGAACUAUUUUGAUAACGAAGUUAGAACAUCAACAAUAGACAUAGUCAACAGUUUAGAUGUAGGCCCAACAUGUGUUACAACAGGUCAAGCUGCUAGUAUCCAGUUUAUAAGUAGAUUUUUCUUGUGAAUAUAUCAUAAUUUUAUACUUUUCUGUAGAGUUCACAAUAUCAGAACUAUGUGACUGUAGAAAUAGUUAAAUUUUCAUUCUUAUGAAACUUAGUAGCUGUUCAUUCAUACAGAUCUCUUUAGAAAGUAGCAAAUGCAGUUCUUCUUGGAC